rnacentral:rRNA from 1 species
GCAGCCGCCGCGGUAAUACGGAGGAUCCAAGCGUUAUCCGGAUUUAUUGGGUUUAAAGGGUGCGUAGGCGGCCUAUUAAGUCAGGGGUGAAAGACGGUAGCUCAACUAUCGCAGUGCCUUUGAUACUGAUAGGCUUGAAUGUACUUGAAGUGGGCGGAAUGUGACAAGUAGCGGUGAAAUGCAUAGAUAUGUCACAGAACACCGAUUGCGAAGGCAGCUCACUAAAGUAUGAUUGACGCUGAGGCACGAAAGCGUGGGGAUCAAACAGGAUUAGAUACCCCGGUAGUCCCUGUCUCUUAUAA